AAGUCGUAACAAGGUUUCCGUAGGUGAACCUGCGGAAGGAUCAUUACCAAUAUGAAAGCGGAUGGGGAGCCACAGAAGCUAGAGUCCUCGUGGCUCUGUUUCUGCCCUAUCUGUCUGAAUAUUCACCCAUGUCUUUUGCGUACCAAUUGUUUCCUUGGUGGGCCAUCCCGCCAACAGGACAUUGUUAAACCUUUUGUAAUUGCAGUCAGCGUCAGAAAAACUUAAUAGUUACAACUUUCAACAACGGAUCUCUUGGUUCUG
rnacentral:misc_RNA from 1 species